rnacentral:rRNA from 2 species
AAACCAACAGGGAUUGCCCUAGUAACGGCGAGUGAAGCGGCAACAGCUCAAAUUUGAAAUCUGGCCCUCGCGGUCCGAGUUGUAAUUUGUAGAGGAUGCUUUUGGUUAGGUGCCUUCUGAGUUCCCUGGAACGGGACGCCAGAGAGGGUGAGAGCCCCGUACGGUUGGACACCGAGCCUCUAUAUAGCUCCUUCGACGAGUCGAGUAGUUUGGGAAUGCUGCUCUAAAUGGGAGGUAAAUUUCUUCUAAAGCUAAAUACCGGCCAGAGACCGAUAGCGCACAAGUAGAGUGAUCGAAAGAUGAAAAGCACUUUGAAAAGAGGGUUAAAUAGCACGUGAAAUUGUUGAAAGGGAAGCGUUUGCGACCAGACUUUUUCCAGGCGGAUCAUCCGGUGUUCUCACCGGUGCACUUCGCCUGGUUGAGGCCAGCAUCGGUUUCCUUAGGGGGAUAAAGGCUCGGGGAACGUAGCUCCUUCGGGAGUGUUAUAGCCCCUUGCGUAAUACCCCUCGGGGGACCGAGGAACGCGCUUCGGCAAGGAUGCUGGCGUAAUGGUCGUCAACGAC